rnacentral:sRNA from 1 species
GGUUGUCGCUGGCCUCUUCACUGAGGCAUGUGCACGCCUUCUCCGUUCAUCCACACACACCUGUGCACUUGUGAGACGGACUAACCCUUCCGAGGGGAUGCCCCGUCUAUUAUACAUAAACUCCAAUAUAUUAAAUUUGAAUGUAAUCAGAUGUAACACAUCAUUGAACUAAGUUUCAACAACGGAUCUCUUGGCUCUCGCAUCGAUGAAGAACGCAGCGAAAUGCGAUAAGUAAUGUGAAUUGCAGAAUUCAGUGAAUCAUCGAAUCUUUGAACGCACCUUGCGCUCCUUGGUAUUCCUCGGAGCAUGCCUGUUUGAGUAUCAUGAAAUUCUCAAAAUAAAUCUUUUGUUAAUUCAAUUGGUUUCAUUUUGGACUUGGGGGUCUGCAGAUUAACUUCUGCUCCUCUUAAAUAUAUUAGCUGGAUCUCGGAGAGGUCGGUUCCACUCGGCGUGAUAAGUAUCACUCGCUGAGGACACUGUAAAAGGUGGCCGGGCUCACUGCAGAACCGCUU